UACGUAGGGUGCAAGCGUUAAUCGGAAUUACUGGGCGUAAAGCGCACGUAGGCGGGUCGUUAAGUCAGGGGUGAAAUCCUGGAGCUCAACUCCAGAACUGCCUUUGAUACUGGCGAUCUUGAGUCCGGGAGAGGUGAGUGGAACUGCGAGUGUAGAGGUGAAAUUCGUAGAGAUCGGCAGGAACACCCAGGGGGAAACCAGUCGACUGGGCAUCUACUGGACGCUGAGGUGCGAGAGCGUGGGGAGCGAACCGGAUUAGAGUACCCGUUAUA
rnacentral:rRNA from 1 species